rnacentral:misc_RNA from 1 species
GGCCAUCCGGGUGUGUUGUUUGGAGAAAGACUUAGAAAUGAUGGAAUUCGGGGACCAGACUGAGAUAGGUGAGAGGGGGAUCAACCUUAGUGGUGGCCAGAAGCAACGCAUACAACUUGCCAGGGCGGUCUAUCAGGAUUGUGACAUCUACCUUCUUGAUGAUGUCUUCAGCGCUGUUGAUGCUCACACUGGUUCAGAGAUUUUUAAGGAAUGUCUGAGAGGUGC